UGCGUUCAAGCAACUACACAACCUGUUUUUUUUCUUUCGACACCAAAUCAUAAAACACACAAGUCGGCACCGCUCUCAUACUCCGCAACCACAUAUUAUUUUUUGUGUCAAUCCUCUUUCCCCCUCCUUCUGUGCGGCCCCCCCCGAGACCUUUUUACCCUUCUCUUCUUUUUUCCCAGUCUUCGUCUUUCUCUGUGGUGAAACUAUUGAGAGGCGGUAACCCAAAAUAUUCCCCCCCGGAGAAAACCCGCUAUGACCCCAGGGUUUUCCCCCCACCAUUUUUAGGGGGACACCAAAAGAAAAUCCCCAAGCUUACUCUCCCCCACCCGUUGGGGGAGCUUUUUCCCAUAAGGUGCACCCCCCCAGGGGGCCCCGGGGAUUCCCAUAUAGUAGUUUUUUUGGUCAUUUAGGAGGAAAAUUAAAAAGUUGUAACAAGGUUUCCCUAAGGGGAACCUGGGGGAAGGAACCUUAAAAGAAAAUUUUAAUUAUUUUGAAAAAUGGGAUUUUUUUUUGUUUUUGGCAAGAAGCAUGAGAACUUUUUACUGGGCAAGAAGACAAGAGAAGGAGAAGUCCAGCCCGGCCUUGCGCUUAAGUGCGCGGUCUUGGUAGGGCUUGUAAGUUUCUUUUCUUGCUAAUCCAAACGGUGAGAGAUUUCUGUGCUUUUUGUUAUAGGACAAUUAAAACCGUUUCAAUACAACACACUGUGGAGUUUUCAUAUCUUUGCAACUUUUUCUUUGGGCAUUCGAGCAAUCGGGGCCCAGAGGUAACAAACACAAACAAUUUUAUCUAUUCAUUAAAUUUUUGUCAAAAACAAGAAUUUUCGUAACUGGAAAUUUUAAAAUAUUAAAAACUUUCAACAACGGAUCUCUUGGUUCUCGCAUCGAUGAAGAACGCAGCGAAAUGCGAUACGUAAUGUGAAUUGCAGAAUUCCGUGAAUCAUCGAAUCUUUGAACGCACAUUGCGCCCCUUGGUAUUCCAGGGGGCAUGCCUGUUUGAGCGUCAUUUCCUUCUCAAACAUUCUGUUUGGUAGUGAGUGAUACUCUUUGGAGUUAACUUGAAAUUGCUGGCCUUUUCAUUGGAUGUUUUUUUUCCAAAGAGAGGUUUCUCUGCGUGCUUGAGGUAUAAUGCAAGUACGGUCGUUUUAGGUUUUACCAACUGCGGCUAAUCUUUUUUUAUACUGAGCGUAUUGGAACGUUAUCGAUAAGAAGAGAGCGUCUAGGCGAACAAUGUUCUUAAAGUUUGACCUCAAAUCAGGUAGGAGUACCCGCUGGACUAAAGCAUAUCAAUAAGCGGAGG
rnacentral:rRNA from 1 species